rnacentral:rRNA from 1 species
UACAGAGGUCCCGAGCGUUGUUCGGAUUCACUGGGCGUAAAGGGUGCGUAGGUGGUACGGUAAGUUUGAUGUGAAAGCUCCGAGCUCAACUCGGAAAAUGCAUUAAAUACUAUCGAACUAGAGGAUUGGAGGGGGGACUGGAAUUUUCGGUGUAGCAGUGAAAUGCGUAGAUAUCGAAAGGAACACCAGUGGCGAAGGCGAGUCCCUGGACAACUCCUGACACUGAGGCACGAAAGCUAGGGGAGCAAACAGG